CAAUGACUAGAGACAUGUUUUACUGUGACAACUGGGAGUAUGUCACUGGCAUCUAAAGGACAGAGGCUGGAAAUACUACUAAACAUUGAUGGUCAGACAUUCUGGAUUUUCAUGGUUUUGGCUUCAGAAAAUUCUAAGUCUAGAAAGCAGCUGUUUCUAUGGGUAUCCCAAAGAAGAAAACUGCUACAUGAAACAAGAGCAAACUGUGGUCUCAUCUGCACAUUUGCAGAGUAGCAUCAGAUCC
rnacentral:lncRNA from 1 species